rnacentral:rRNA from 1 species
AGCUACGGGAGGCAGCAGUGGGGAAUAUUGCACAAUGGGGGAAACCCUGAUGCAGCGACGCCGCGUGAGUGGAGAAGUAUCUCGGUACGUAAAGCUCUAUCAGCAGGGAAGAAAAUGACGGUACCUGACUAAGAAGCUCCGGCUAAAUACGUGCCCGCAGUCGCGGUAAUACGUAGGGGGCAAGCGUUAUCCGGAUUUACUGGGUGUAAAGGGAGCGUAGACGGCAGCACAAGUCUGGAGUGAAAUCCCGGGGCUUAACCCCGGAACUGCUUUGGAAACUGUGCGGCUGGAGUGCAGGAGGGGUAAGCGGAAUUCCUAGUGUAGCGGUGAAAUGCGUAGAUAUUAGGAGGAACACCGGUGGCGAAGGCGGCUUACUGGACUGUAACUGACGUUGAGGCUCGAAAGCGUGGGGAGCAAACAGGAUUAGAUACCCCGGUAGUC